rnacentral:rRNA from 1 species
AGUUACACUCCCAAACCCAAUGUGAACGUUACCAAACUGUUGCCUCGGCGGGGUCACGCCCCGGGUGCGUAAAAGCCCCGGAACCAGGCGCCCGCCGGAGGAACCAACCAAACUCUUUCUGUAGUCCCCUCGCGGACGUAUUUCUUACAGCUCUGAGCAAAAAUUCAAAAUGAAUCAAAACUUUCAACAACGGAUCUCUUGGUUCUGGCAUCGAUGAAGAACGCAGCGAAAUGCGAUAAGUAAUGUGAAUUGCAGAAUUCAGUGAAUCAUCGAAUCUUUGAACGCACAUUGCGCCCGCCAGUAUUCUGGCGGGCAUGCCUGUCCGAGCGUCAUUUCAACCCUCGAACCCCUCCGGGGGAUCGGCGUUGGGGAUCGGGACCCCUCACCGGGUGCCGGCCCUGAAAUAGAGUGGCGGUCUCGCCGCAGCCUCUCCUGCGCAGUAGUUUGCACAACUCGCACCGGGAGCGCGGCGCGUCCACGUCCGUAAAACACCCAACUUCUGAAAUGUUGACCUCGGAUCAGGUAGGAAUACCCGCUGAACUUAAGCAUAUCAAUAAGCGGAGGAA